UACCUAGUGUAUAGUGGAAACAUAGAUAGAUAACUACUGAAAAGAUGGUUCAGUAGGUAGAAUUGAUGAAUAGUCAGGAAAAGUAGUUAUCAUCUUUAGUAUAGGAGUUGGUAUCUCGGGGUAGUAUAAGGAGGAUGGAAGAAGGGAAGAAAAUGCCAUUGCUGUGAUAGUUGUGAGCCAGAGUAAGCUUGGUGCUACCUCUUUUCUUUUGUUUGUUAUUUUCUUUGAAUAAGAGGAUUGAAAGUUUCUGAAUAUUGUGAAGUGAAUUAUGGAAUAGAAAUGUGAUUGGUAUUAUUUGAGAAGAAGAAAGAUUGAAUGCUAAAAUCUGAUUAUAAUUCAGAAGAGAAAAUGAGUCUCUAUUUGUGUGAAACACCAUAAUAUGAAUGGUAGUUCUGUGUGAAGAAUUCUAGUGAUUGAAAUGAGGAUAAUUAUGUGCUGAAAGCUGUGAGGGUGCAGUAUUACAAUUAGAGAUUAUGAAGGUGAAUAUAUUGGUGGAAAUAGUAGUUAUUGAUAUGACUGAAUUGCUAUAAGGAAGAGACUGAUAAGGUGAAGGAGGAGAUUAUAGUUUCCUUAUGUGUUCAGAUAUUAGAAAUAGAGACGAUACAUUCAGGAGAUAAUUGAUUGUGUGACCCUAAUGUGAACGCUUAAGCAACUAGUUAUUUCCCAUGUUUGAAUCUCCCUAUAUGGAUUUAUUUCUAUUAGAUUAAUUUGGAAUAAGUAAAAUGAGCAAUCACACGAGUAUUGUUUGGACUUUUUCUAUUUCUUUUCUUGGCCUUGUAGUAAUUUCGACCAAAGUGACUUGGUUUUCCACAAAUGAAGUAAGUUCUCACAUUUCAACGAUGGUUAGGAUGACUCUCCUUGCCUUGCCUUGAAAAGAGAGCCGAAUCCUCACUUUGGGGCUCUUUUUCUUUUCUCUUGGUCACUUCAUGGACAAGUCUUGCCGUCACAUAAUCCAUUGUGAGUUCUUUUACUUUGAUGCAUUCCAAUGCCACAAUGAGGUAGUUAUAGGACUCGGGAAGGUUCAUAAGCAAGGUCAUGAUAAUAUUACUCUCUUCUAAAUGCUUGUCAACAAUUGCAAGUUGUUGAAUAAGAGCCUUUACCUUGUUGAUAUGAGCCUUUCACUCACAAAAUUUACUUUCUCACCACAUA
rnacentral:lncRNA from 1 species